AUUGAACGCUGGCGGCAUGCCUUACACAUGCAAGUCGAACGGUAACGGGCCUUCGGGUGCCGACGAGUGGCGAACGGGUGAGUAAUGUAUCGGAACGUACCUUUCAGUGGGGGAUAACGUAGCGAAAGUUACGCUAAUACCGCAUAUUCUGUGAGCAGGAAAGCAGGGGAUCGCAAGACCUUGCGCUGAUUGAGCGGCCGAUAUCAGAUUAGCUAGUUGGUGAGGUAAAAGCUCACCAAGGCGACGAUCUGUAGCGGGUCUGAGAGGAUGAUCCGCCACACGGGAACUGAGACACGGUCCAGACUCCUACGGGAGGCAGCAGUGGGGAAUUUUGGACAAUGGGGGCAACCCUGAUCCAGCCGCCGCGUGCAGGAUGAAGGCCUUCGGGUUGUAAACUGCUUUUGUACGGAACGAAAAGACUCUUUCUAAUAAAGAGGGUCCAUGACGGUACCGUAAGAAUAAGCACCGGCUAACUACGUGCCAGCCGCCGCCGUAACAC
rnacentral:rRNA from 1 species